UACAGAGGGGGCAAGCGUUAUUCGGAAUUAUUGGGCGUAAAGGGCGCGUAGGCGGCUUGGCAAGUGGAUGGUGAAAUCCCUCGGCUUAACCGAGGAACUGCCGUCCAAACUGCUUGGCUUGAGACCGGGAGAGGUGAGUGGAAUUCCCAGUGUAGCGGUGAAAUGCGUAGAUAUUGGGAGGAACACCAGUGGCGAAGGCGGCUCACUGGACCGGUACUGACGCUGAGUGCGCGAAAGCGUGGGGAGCAAACGGG
rnacentral:rRNA from 1 species